rnacentral:rRNA from 1 species
AAAUUGAAGAGUUUGAUCAUGGCUCAGAUUGAACGCUGGCGGCAGGCCUAACACAUGCAAGUCGAACGGUAACAGAAAGCAGCUUGCUGCUUUGCUGACGAGUGGCGGACGGGUGAGUAAUGUCUGGGAAACUGCCUGAUGGAGGGGGAUAACUACUGGAAACGGUAGCUAAUACCGCAUAACGUCGCAAGACCAAAGAGGGGGACCUUCUGGCCUCUUGCCAUCGGAUGUGCCCAGAUGGGAUUAGCUUGUUGGUGGGGUAACGGCUCACC